rnacentral:tRNA from 1 species
GGGUGGUGGCUCAGUGGCUAAGAGCACUGGCUGUUCCUCCAGAGGACCCGGGUUCAAUUCCCAGCACCCA